rnacentral:rRNA from 1 species
UACGUAUGGGGCGAGCGUUGUUCGGAUUUACUGGGCGUAAAGGGUGCGUAGGCGGGAUAUUAAGUUGGAUGUGAAAUCCUAUGGCUUAACCAUAGAAUCGCACCCAAAACUGGUAUUCUUGAGUACGGGAGAGGAGAGCGGAAUUCCUAGUGUAGGGGUGAAAUCUGUAGAUAUUAGGAAGAACACCGGCGGCGAAGGCGGCUCUCAAUCUUGAUACUGACGCUGAGGCACGAAAGCCAGGGGAGCAAACGGG